AUUGAACGCUGGCGGCAGGCCUAACACAUGCAAGUCGAACGGAGUGGCGGACGGGUGAGUAAUGUAUCGGAACGUGCCCCGUAGCGGGGGAUAACUACGCGAAAGCGUAGCUAAUACCGCAUACUAUUGGAGCGGCCGAUAUCGGAUUAGCUAGUUGGUGGGUUAACGGCUCACCAGGGCGACGAUCCGUAGCUGGUUUGAGCGGACGACAAGCCACACUGGGACGGAGACACGUCCCAGACUCCUACGGGAGGCAGCAGUGGGGAAUUUUGGACAAUGGGGGAAACCCUAAUCCAGCCAUCCCGCGGGUGAGAUGAAGGCCUUCGGGUUGUAAAACACUUUUGGCAGGAAAGCGGUACCUGCAGAAUAAGCACCGGCUAACUACGUGCCAGCAGCCGCGGUAAUAC
rnacentral:rRNA from 1 species